rnacentral:rRNA from 1 species
UACACUCCUGCGGGAGGCAGCAGUGGGGAAUUUUGGACAAUGGGCGAAAGCCUGAUCCAGCAAUGCCGCGUGAGUGAAGAAGGCCUUCGGGUUGUAAAGCUCUUUUGUCAGGGAAGAAACGGUGCGAGCUAAUAUCUCUUGCUAAUGACGGUACCUGAAGAAUAAGCACCGGCUAACUACGUGCCAGCAGCCGCGGUAAUACGUAGGGUGCAAGCGUUAAUCGGAAUUACUGGGCGUAAAGCGUGCGCAGGCGGUUUUGUAAGUCUGAUGUGAAAUCCCCGGGCUCAACCUGGGAAUUGCAUUGGAGACUGCAAGGCUAGAAUCUGGCAGAGGGGGGUAGAAUUCCACGUGUAGCAGUGAAAUGCGUAGAUAUGUGGAGGAACACCGAUGGCGAAGGCAGCCCCCUGGGUCAAGAUUGACGCUCAUGCACGAAAGCGUGGGGAGCAAACAGGAUUAGAUACCCGGGUAGUCCCAUGAU